rnacentral:misc_RNA from 1 species
AAUUCUCAAUCCCUGCAAUCUUGUGUUGUCAGGUGAUUGGAUUCUGGGGGCUUGCUGGCUUUGUUCAGCUCCCCUUAAAAGCAUUAGCAGGACAUUAUGCCAUCUGUGCUUUGUAUGAUAUUUAUCUAUACACUGUACUUGUUGUGCACAACUGCUUCCAACUGUCACAUCUGACAUUUGACCA